ACGGAGGGUGCAAGCGUUGUCCGGAUUUAUUGGGUUUAAAGGGUGCGCAGGUGGUUUAUUAAGUCAGUGGUGAAAGACGGUCGCUCAACGAUUGCAGUGCCAUUGAAACUGGUAGACUUGAGUAAAGUAGAGGUGGGCGGAAUUGAUAGUGUAGCGGUGAAAUGCAUAGAUAUUAUCAAGAACUCCAAUUGCGUAGGCAGCUCACUUGGCUUUUACUGACACUCAUGCACGAAAGUGUGGGUAUCAAACAGGAUUAGAUACCCUGGUAGUCCACACUGUAAACGAUGAUAACUAGGUGUCGGCCGAAUCUGGUCGGUGCCACAGCGAAAGCGUUAAGUUAUCCACCUGGGGAGUACGCCGGCAACGGUG
rnacentral:rRNA from 1 species